rnacentral:snRNA from 1 species
AGAGAAUCACUUGAACCUGGGAGACGGAGAUGGCAGUGAGCCGAGAUCGCACUACUGCAUUCCAGCCUGGGUGACAGAG